rnacentral:rRNA from 1 species
UACGAAGGGGGCUAGCGUUGCUCGGAUUGACUGGGCGUAAAGGGCGCGUAGGCGGAUAGUACAGUCAGGCGUGAAAUUCCUGGGCUCAACCUGGGGGCUGCGUUUGAUACGUAUUGUCUGGAGUUCGGAAGAGGGUCGUGGAAUUCCCAGUGUAGAGGUGAAAUUCGUAGAUAUUGGGAAGAACACCGGUGGCGAAGGCGGCGACCUGGUCCGAUACUGACGCUGAGGCGCGAAAGCUAGGGGAGCAAACGGG